rnacentral:rRNA from 1 species
UGGGGAAUUUUGGACAAUGGGCGAAAGCCUGAUCCAGCAAUGCCGCGUGUGUGAAGAAGGCCUUCGGGUUGUAAAGCACUUUUGUCCGGAAAGAAAUCCUUGGCUCUAAUACAGUCGGGGGAUGACGGUACCGGAAGAAUAAGCACCGGCUAACUACGUGCCAGCAGCCGCGGUAAUACGUAGGGUGCAAGCGUUAAUCGGAAUUACUGGGCGUAAAGCGUGCGCAGGCGGUUUGCUAAGACCGAUGUGAAAUCCCCGGGCUCAACCUGGGAACUGCAUUGGUGACUGGCAGGCUAGAGUAUGGCAGAGGGGGGUAGAAUUCCACGUGUAGCAGUGAAAUGCGUAGAGAUGUGGAGGAAUACCGAUGGCGAAGGCAGCCCCCUGGGCAAAUACUGACGCUCAUGCACGAA